GGCCAGACUCCUACGGGAGGCAGCAGUGGGGAAUAUUGCACAAUGGGGGAAACCCUGAUGCAGCAACGCCGCGUGAGUGAAGAAGUAUUUCGGUAUGUAAAGCUCUAUCAGCAGGGAAGAGAAUGACGGUACCUGACUAAGAAGCCCCGGCUAACUACGUGCCAGCAGCCGCGGUAAUACGUAGGGGGCAAGCGUUAUCCGGAUUUACUGGGUGUAAAGGGGGCGCAGACGGCAGCGCAAGCCAGGAGUGAAAGCCCGGGGCCCAACCCCGGGACUGCUCUUGGAACUGCGCGGCUGGAGUGCAGGAGGGGCAGGCGGAAUUCCUGGUGUAGCGGUGAAAUGCGUAGAUAUCAGGAGGAACACCGGUGGCGAAGGCGGCCUGCUGGACUGCGACUGACGUUGAGGCCCGAAAGCGUGGGGAGCAAACAGGAUUAGAUACCCCCGUA
rnacentral:rRNA from 1 species